UUAAGUGACGCGUACUUAUAAAAAUAUUCGGAAGUAGAAAAGCUGUUUUCCACUCUGUGGUUUGCUGACUAUUCAAAGAAAUGGCUUCACACUUGACUAAGUGAGAGACUGAGUAUGUUUCAAUGUUUAAUUCAAUUUCGUGACUGGCAGAACGUUUUUUCCUCCCUCUGGCUUCCACUGCCGGCAUCUUUUCACACUCGGCAUGACUCAUUUAAAGCCAUAAGAGAGUCCUUUCUAGUUAAUUUCUUUCUUUCUCUUUUUCUUUUACAUUGCUCUCUACCCUCUGUCUCGUCGCAAUUUUAACCUGGCUUCUUCUCUUCUCAUCCAAUCUUUCUUGUUUUUUUUCUUUACUCACUCACUGUCUCGACUGUGUGUAUUAAAAGGCCAGUAAUUCAUCACAGAGUCAGAGCAGAGUGCAGUCCCUGCUGCACACCACUGUGCUGGCUGCCUGUCUGCCAACCUUCCACAGCUGGAAUCAAUCACCUAAUCCUAAGACACCGAAACCAUCAGGGAGGGACAGACAGAGAUAGAAGAGAGAGAAGGGCAGAGAGAAAGGGUGACAUAUAGAGAGAAACCCCACUUGGAUUAAAUAAACAUUUCCUGCUCAACGCUGAUCAAAAUGCCUCAUGAGUUGACCCUUGGGUGUGACGUGAAAGAAAAAACAUGUGCUGAAUGCUGUAAUCAAGGCUAAUGGGACUCAGCUGCUGGCCAGUCUAAUUACCUGGAAUGCAGACGGAUGAUCUGGGAGACAGGCCUACACAGACACACACGCACACCACAUGCAGUCAAGUGGCUUCCACGGACGUGGAAGUAUUUUUUCUUUAAUGCACCUGCCACUCAAAGAAUGUGCACAUGUAUGUAGUGUAUGAGUCAGUAUGUGUUUGUAUGUCCUGUGUGUGAGCAGAAUAAAUAAACAUGCAGGCAUUUGUUAAAGGUCAGUAAAAAAGCUCAGGGAAAGUGUCCAUUCCUUCUCCAAGUCAGGAAUUCCGACCCUGUCAGAGAAAAGCAAAUAGCUAAAUUUACACAAAAUCUCUCUGGUCCUUAUUCUUCUUUUUUUUUUUUAUGAAUAAUUGUAGUUAUUUUUGGACCUGUGCCAUUUUUUCCCAUCAUUUUCACUCUCGCUGUUUGCUUCUAACCAAAUUCUCACCCAUUUCACAAAGAUUAAUCUCAUUUAGAGGGUGAGGUGGAUGGAUUUUAAAACAAUCAUUCAGAGACAAGCCAAAGUGAAAUAACCUUGGGUUAUAAUUCAAAAUAAUUUAUUUUUAAGAGAUUCUUUUAAAAACAUUUUAGUGGCAAAGCUAGCAUGCAGAAUGUCAAGUGCUCUCACAAAAUUCUAAAUAAAAGGAUCACCAAGUUCAGAUGGGGCUGAUUGAAGUAUUGUCCAGAAUAUAAAACGUUCAGCAACAGACUUCUUGUCUCUAAAGAUGAUGAUAGUGUAUCCCAUUCCACAGAUCUAAUUUGUGCAUAUAACAUAAAGGGCAAUAGAAAUAUCAUUAAGUAGAUAAAACAGGGGAUUUUCAAACAAAACUCUUGUAUGUCUGAUUAAUGUAUCUCUGUGUCAUUCAAGGCCUUGUCAGCCUGAUGUCGUAGUGUCUGCCUGAGCAGAGAGCAGGCUUCAGGGAAAUCCUCGCUCUAAAUGAUUAAUGGAGUCUGGAACCAAGAAGAGGAAUUGUCUGUCUGACUCCGCAUGUACACACCCUGUUGACGCUUUUGAGAGAGGCAGAGUUGUUUGUGUGUGUCAGUCUGCUUUCGAAGCUGUAUCAUCACAGUGAAGCCUGUUUCAUGGCAGUUCAGAGGGACUCAUUAAUGAUGUCAGAUACACACAGACAGACACAUACAUACAAACAUACUGUACGUGAAAA